rnacentral:rRNA from 1 species
GAUGAACGCUGGCGGCGUGCCUAAUACAUGCAAGUCGAGCGAACAGACGAGGAGCUUGCUCCUCUGACGUUAGCGGCGGACGGGUGAGUAACACGUGGAUAACCUACCUAUAAGACUGGGAUAACUUAGGGAAACCGGAGCUAAUACCGGAUAAUAUAUUGAACCGCAUGGUUCAAUAGUGAAAGACGGCUUUGCUGUCACUUAUAGAUGGAUCCGCGCCGCAUUAGCUAGUUGGUAAGGUAACGGCUUACCAAGGCAACGAUGCGUAGCCGACCUGAGAGGGUGAUCGGCCACACUGGAACUGAGACACGGUCCAGACUCCUACGGGAGGCAGCAGUAGGGAAUCUUCCGCAAUGGGCGAAAGCCUGACGGAGCAACGCCGCGUGAGUGAUGAAGGUCUUCGGAUCGUAAAACUCUGUUAUUAGGGAAGAACAAAUGUGAAAGUAACUAUGCACGUCUUGACGGUACCUAAUCAGAAAGCCACGGCUAACUACGUG